AAUCUGUGGAAAGAGGAUUCGUCCAAUUGAAGCAGAGGACAGUGGCGGACGGGUGAGUAACGCGUGAGGAACCUGCCUUUCAGAGGGGGACAACAGUUGGAAACGACUGCUAAUACCGCAUGACACAUAGGUGUCGCAUGGCACUUAUGUCAAAGAUUUAUCGCUGAAAGAUGGCCUCGCGUCUGAUUAGCUAGUUGGUGAGGUAACGGCCCACCAAGGCGACGAUCAGUAGCCGGACUGAGAGGUUGAACGGCCACAUUGGGACUGAGAUACGGCCCAGACUCCUACGGGAGGCAGCAGUGGGGAAUAUUGGGCAAUGGGCGCAAGCCUGACCCAGCAACGCCGCGUGAAGGAAGAAGGCUUUCGGGUUGUAAACUUCUUUUGUCAGGGACGAGUAGAAGACGGUACCUGACGAAUAAGCCACGGCUAACUACGUGCCAGCAGCCGCGGUAAUACGUAGGUGGCAAGCGUUGUCCGGAUUUACUGGGUGUAAAGGGCGUGUAGCCGGGAGGGCAAGUCAGAUGUGAAAUCCACGGGCUCAACUCGUGAACUGCAUUUGAAACUACUCUUCUUGAGUAUCGGAGAGGCAAUCGGAAUUCCUAGUGUAGCGGUGAAAUGCGUAGAUAUUAGGAGGAACACCAGUGGCGAAGGCGGAUUGCUGGACGACAA
rnacentral:rRNA from 1 species